rnacentral:rRNA from 1 species
UACGUAGGGACCGAGCGUUGUCCGGAUUCAUUGGGCGUAAAGAGCUCGUAGGCGGCUGUUCAAGUCGAACGUGAAAACUCGGAGCUCAACUCCGAGCCUGCGUUCGAUACUGGACGGCUAGAGUCUGGUAGGGGGAUCUGGAAUUCCUGGUGUAGCGGUGGAAUGCGCAGAUAUCAGGAGGAACACCGGUGGCGAAGGCGGGAUCCUGGGCCAGUACUGACGCUGAGGCACGAAAGCCAGGGGAGCAAACGGG